GCCACUCUAGCUUAGUGGUAGAGCAUCUGCUUCGUAAGCAGGAGGUCAUCAGUUCAAUCGUGGCAAGUGGCU
rnacentral:tRNA from 1 species